rnacentral:rRNA from 1 species
GCUAUACAUGCAGUCGAGCGAGCAAUUUUAACGGAAUACUUCGGUAGGAAGUUAAGAGCGCGAGCGGCGGAUGGGUGAGUAACACGUGGGCAACCUGCCCUUUAGCUUGGGAUACCACUUGGAAACAGGUGCUAAUACCAAAUAAGAAGCGAGAGCGCAUGCUCAAGCAGUAAAAGGCGGCUUUCGAGCUGUCACUAAAGGAUGGGCCCGCGGUGCAUUAGCUAGUUGGUAAGGUAACGGCCUACCAAGGCGAUGAUGCAUAGCCGAGUUGAGAGACUGACCGGCCACAUUGGGACUGAGACACGGCCCAAACUCCUACGGGAGGCAGCAGUAGGGAAUCUUCCACAAUGGACGCAAGUCUGAUGGAGCAACGCCGCGUGAGUGAAGAAGGUUUUCGGAUCGUAAAGCUCUGUUGUUGGUGAAGAAGGACAAGGGUAGUAACUGAUCUUUGUUUGACGGUAAUCAACCAGAAAGUCACGGCUAACUACGUGCCAGCAGCCGCGGUAAUACGUAGGUGGCAAGCGUUGUCCGGAUUUAUUGGGCGUAAAGCGAACGCAGGCGGGAAGAUAAGUCAGCUGUGAAAGCCCCCAGCUUAACUGGGGAACUGCAGCUGAAACUAUGUUUCUUGAGUGCAGAAGAGGAGAGUGGAACUCCAUGUGUAGCGGUGGAAUGCGUAGAUAUAUGGAAGAACACCAGUGGCGAAGGCGGCUCUCUGGUCUGUAACUGACGCUGAGGUUCGAAAGCAUGGGUAGCGAACAGGAUUAGAUACCCUGGUAGUCCAUGCCGUAAACGAUGAGUGCUAAGUGUUGGGAGGUUUCCGCCUCUCAGUGCUGCAGCUAACGCAUUAAGCACUCCGCCUGGGGAGUACGACCGCAAGGUUAAAACUCAAAGGAAUUGACGGGGGCCCGCACAAGCGGUGGAGCAUGUGGUUUAAUUCGAAGCAACGCGAAGAACCUUACCAGGUCUUGAC